rnacentral:rRNA from 1 species
CCCUUAGACGUUCUGGGCCGCACGCGCGCUACACUGAUCAGUGCAACAAGCAUCCGUCCUUGGCCGACAGGCCCGGGCAAUCUUUGAACGCUGAUCGUGAUGGGGAUAGACUUUUGCAAUUUUUGGUCUUCAACGAGGAAUUCCUAGUAAACGCAAGUCAUCAACUUGCAUUGAUUACGUCCCUGCCCUUUGUACACACCGCCCGUCGCACCUACCGAUUGAAUGGUCCGGUGAAGCCUCCGGAUUGGCGUGCACCCUCGGGUGCUGCCGAGAAGUUGGCUAAACCUUACCAUUUAGAGGAAGGUGAAGUCGUANCA